UAUUGUAGAGGUCAAAAGAAGCCACACAACCCUAGAUUUCCAAAUGAGAAAGAAUUUACGAAUUGCUUGUCCAUAAUGAUAUUGGCAAAUAUAUGGCAACAUGUAAGAUAUAGACCCAAAACAGUAUUAAUAAAGAUUUGUUACUCAUCAUGGUCUUAACAAAAUUCAGUUUCUCUUUAUAAACACACCAUCCAUUUAUGGUGUUCCAUGCAGAGUCUAUUAAGAGAGUUUCAUUCUCCUUUAAUGUAAUCCAAAAACCUAGAACUCAAGUAUUCUCCACCUCAAUUUGAUCAAAGUGUUUUAAUACUUAUUCCAAGUUGUUUCUCUACUUCAUUCUGCACUCCU
rnacentral:lncRNA from 1 species